AAAUGGAAUGUAUGUCUGACCUAAAACACCUAUGCUGUAUUGUUUCUUUAACACUGAUUUAUUUCGUCUCCUCUCUCACUGAGAAAUCUCCUUAUCUUGAGAAAUGUUAAUUUUAAUUUGCUGCAGAACUGGGAACAAGUCAAAUAGUCACUGAAAUCCAACAGAUGGAGCCCAUCCAGUUCAUUUCCAACUAUGAAGCAGAAUCCUUGUGAACACAGUGUGGAGCUGGAGAAACACAGCAGAUGUUAAAUCUGUUGUGAAAGAAUCGUUGGCACAUACAUUCAUAAUGUUACCAAAACCUCUUUAAUAAGUCUACCAGUUACUGCCUUACGUACUUCUGUGGGGUCACAGCAAUCAUCGCAUUUUAGGUUAAAUAAAAAGCAAAAUAACUGUGGAUGCUGGAAAUUAGAAAUAAAAACAGAAAUUGCUGGAAAA